CCCCUAGGACUUACCCUUUGCUACCGGCUACCACCGGUCGUAAUACAAUGGGACUACUGAAUAAGCUCAGGCUUUCUAGUCUGAACAGGCCGUUCUUCUCUUUCCUCAACUAAUUGAAACGUCAGGGACAGACAUCCUGAACGACUCUGAUGUCAGACCUCCCAUCAGCCCUCUACACCUCGCUGCGUACCACAGUCACCACCAUGCUAUGGAGGUCCUGGUUCAGUCUCUGCUGGAUCUAGACGUGAGGGACAGCCAGGGGCGCACCCCUCUGGACCUGGCUGCCUUAAAAAGCCAUGUGGAGUGUGUUGACGUCCUGAUCAACCAGGAAGCCUCCAUCCUGGUUAAAGACUUCACUCUGAAGAGGACCCCCAUCCACGCUGCAGGCCGUCUCGUCAUUGUUGGUAAUCAAGCCUACCACUGUUGUGUCGUCCGCAAACUUGAUGAUUGAGUUGGAGGCGUGCGUGGCCACGCAGUCGUGGGUGAACAGGGAGUACAGGAGAGGGCUCAGAAGGCUGUUGUGGCUCCUACACACCGCCCAGUCAGUGUCGACCCUCCCCGUCAUCACAGACAACCAGGGCUCCACGCCACUACACUGGGCCUGCUACAACGGUACGUACUGGACAGAGGGACAGCGAAGUGGGCCAGAGGCCACAAACAAAUACACACAUAAACAUAGCGUGGCUUAAAUUACCACAGCCAGCUUCGGGAGGGCACGAACCAAGCCAUCCGCACAGGAACCUUAAGAGUCCCUCAGACAGCGAGAGAUAAGAGGGAGGGAUAGGGGAGGCACAACAGGCCCACACUCAUCCUCUCGUAACCACCAGGUUCCCUUCCAGCAGAUACUGGACUUCAGAGGAACUGCUGCUGCUAUACCCCAUCUUUACCUUUACCCACAAAGGUCCUAAACGGUAGAAAGUGUCCGGCCAACAGACCGACGCACACCUUAUGACGGCAAUAACCUGUAGUCCAAGGGGAUAGUAGCACUUCACUGAGAGCAAAACAGACAGGGACCAACAGAUGUGGAAGAAGCAUUUUCAAAACCUGUUUUGACUGUAGAAAUUGGGUGUUUGUGUUGAGAAAAGACAUAAGGAGUGAUGUUUCAUUUAAGUUUCAUGAGAGUGAUUGUCAUGUUUAUCCGCACACUAAGACAGUCAGAACGCACCUAGCCUCUUGUCUGUAAUCCAUGUGGGAGGAGGGAAAAUCAUACAUUUUGUAUGAACAAAUAUUUUAGUAGUAAUUGUAAAUAUUUAAUGCAUCCCAAAAGGAACCCUAUACUGAAUAGUACACUACUGUUGAACAGGGUCCAUAGGGUUCUGGUCAAAAGCAGUGCCAUUUAGGAUGCUGGUAUGUGAGCAACAGGACUUUUUGAUGGGACAUAUUACAUUAUUAAACCUACCUGUCCUUCGGCCUCUAGAAAGUAAAUGAUUAAUUCAUGUUUUCUUUCUUGUGAUAUUUAUGCCAUCAUUUUGUGCCUUCGUUAGUUACUGAGGGGAGGUUAGGAGAGUAGGGGCACCUGUAUGAGUGACAACAGCUGGUUUUACAUGUAAGCAUUCACUAAUAGGAAACCAAGUCAGUUAGGAGAGAAGACUAGUAGACACCCAGCAGGGUAAUUUAAAUGCAAGUUGUCAACCGUGAUAUUAGUUAGCACUGACACCAUUAACCCCGAUUCUAGCAACAUCCUCAUAUAUACCAACCCCAAACACUCAGUUCCACAACCAUCAAGUUAAAAUGAACGAGAACCCAUUCCACAUCAUGUCAAAUCAAAAUCAAAUCAAAUGUAUUUAUAUAGCCCUUCGUACAUCAGCUGAUAUCUCAAAGUGCUGUACAGAAACCCAGCCUAAAACCCCAAACAGCAAGCAAUGCAGGUGUAGAAGCACGGUGGCUAGGAAAAACUCCCUAGAAAGGCCAAAACCUAGGAAGAAACCUAGAGAGGAACCAGGCUAUGUGGGGUGGCCAGUCCUCUUCUGGCUGUGCCGUGUGGAGAGUAUUACAGAACAUGGCCAAGAUGUUCAAAUGUUCAUAAAUGACCAGCAUGGUCAAAUAAUAAUAAUCACAGGCAGAACAGUUGAAACUGGAGCAGCAGCACGGCCAGGUGGACUGGGGACAGCAAGGAGUCAUCAUGCCAGGUAGUCAUGAGGCAUGGUCCUAGGGCUCAUGUCCUCCGAGAGAGAGAAAGAAAGAGAGAAAGAGAAUUAGAGAGAGCAUACUUAAAUUCACACAGGACACCGGAUAGGACAGGAGAAGUACUCCAGAUAUAACAACCUGACCCUUGCCCCCCGACACAUAAACUACUGCAGCAUAAAUACUGGAGGCUGAGACAGGAGGGGUCAGGAGACACUGUGGCCCCAUCCGAUGACACCCCCGGACAGGGCCAAACAGUAAGGAUAUAACCCCACCCACUUUGCCAAAGCACAGCCCCCACACCACUAGAGGGAUAUCUUCAACCACCAACUUACCAUCCUGAGACAAGGCCGAGUAUAGCCCACAAAGAUCUCCGCCACGGCACAACCCAAGGGGGGGCGCCAACCCAGACAGGAAGAUCACAUCAGUGACUCAACCCACUCAAGUGACGCACCCCUCCUAGGCACGGUAUGAAAGAGACCUAGUAAGCCAGUGACUCAGCCCCUGUAAUAGGGUUAGAGGCAGAGAAUCCCAGUGGAAAGAGGGGAACCGGCCAGGCAGAGACAGCAAGGGCGGUUCGUUGCUCCAGAGCCUUUCCGUUCACCUUCACACUCCUGGGCCAGACUACACUCAAUCAUAUGACCCACUGAAGAGAUGAGUCUUCAGUAAAGACUUAAAGGUUGAGACCGAGUUUGCGUCUCUCACAUGGGUAGGCAGACCAUUCCAUAAAAAUGGAGCUCUAUAGGAGAAAGCCCUGCCUCCAGCUGUUUGCUUAGAAAUUCUAGGGACAAUUCCACGCCCAAUUUUUCAGUUUUUGAUUUGUUAAAAAAGUUUGAAAUAUCCAAUAAAUGUCGUUCCACUUCA